AUGGAUGCCGCGAUAAUGACGAAUGAUCUUCGCGUAGGUUGUGUGGGUGCCGUUCGUAAUAUAGCACAUCCUAUAACAUUAGGUCUGUCUUUCUUAGCAAAUCGCUUACAUCAAAGAAAUGAUUAUGUUUAUUUAUCACCUGCUUAAAUUUCAAUGCUUUACACUCUCGUAGCCAAAAUGGUCUUGCAGCAAACGGAACAUGUAUUGAUAGUCGAAGCUGGAGCGCAAAAGUUUAGUAUGGAAUCAGGCAUUCCUACUUUGUCACCUGGCCAAUUGAUCGUUAUGUCCGAUUCGAAGACAUCCUUGCACGAAGAAGGAAAUAACGGUAAAGGAUAGAGAAAAAAACGAACUAUAAUUUUAAAAAUAUUAAUCGCGAUACUGAUGAACAUAAGAAGCACAAGAUACAAGAAAGAGAGCUUUUAGACGAUGGGGACAAACAAUCCAAUAAAAAAGAAUGCAUACCGGAAUGUGUAAUUGAAAGAGACAAGGAGGAAAGUGCUCUCAAAGUCGCUGAGAUAGACAAAUCCUUGGAAAUUGCACCUGAUUUUAUACAGUCUGACAAGCCUAUAAUUUGUGGAAGAGAGAUAAAGAGACAGAAGAAAAAAGUGUCUUUCGUCAAAAUCUAAAUCUUUUUUUCUCUCUUUUUUUUUCUUUAUGGAUCUAAUAUA
rnacentral:misc_RNA from 1 species